UACAGAGGUCUCAAGCGUUGUUCGGAUUCAUUGGGCGUAAAGGGUGCGUAGGCGGUGGAAUAAGUUGGAUGUGAAAUCCCGGAGCUUAACUCCGGAACUGCAUUCAAUACUGUUUUGCUAGAGUACUGGAGAGGAGAUUGGAAUUCACGGUGUAGCAGUGAAAUGCGUAGAUAUCGUGAGGAAGACCAGUGGCGAAGGCGAAUCUCUGGACAGUUACUGACGCUGAGGCACGAAGGCCAGGGGAGCAAACGGG
rnacentral:rRNA from 1 species